rnacentral:rRNA from 1 species
UACGGAGGGUGCAAGCGUUAUCCGGAUUCACUGGGUUUAAAGGGUGCGUAGGCGGGCAGGUAAGUCCGUGGUGAAAUCUCUGAGCUUAACUCAGAAACUGCCAUGGAUACUAUUUGUCUUGAAUAUUGUGGAGGUAAGCGGAAUAUGUCAUGUAGCGGUGAAAUGCUUAGAUAUGACAUAGAACACCAAUUGCGAAGGCAGCUUACUACACAGUUAUUGACGCUGGAGGCACGAAAGCCGUGGGGAUCAAACAGG